UACGGGGGGGGGCAAGCGUUGUUCGGACUUACUGGGCGUAAAGGGCUCGUAGGUGGCCAACUAAGUCAGCCGUGAAAUCCCUCGGCUUAACCGGGGAACUGCGUCUGAUACUGGAUGGCUUGAGUUUGGGAGAGGGAUGCGGAAUUCCAGGUGUAGCGGUGAAAUGCGUAGAUAUCUGGAGGAACACCGGUGGCGAAGGCGGCAUCCUGGACCAACACUGACACUGAGGAGCGAAAGCCAGGGGAGCAAACGGG
rnacentral:rRNA from 1 species